rnacentral:rRNA from 1 species
UACGAAGGGUGCAAGCGUUAAUCGGAAUUACUGGGCGUAAAGGGUGCGUAGGCGGUUGUUUAAGUCUGUCGUGAAAUCCCCGGGCUCAACCUGGGAAUGGCGAUGGAAACUGGGCAGCUAGAGUGUGUCAGAGGAUGGUGGAAUUCCCGGUGUAGCGGUGAAAUGCGUAGAGAUCGGGAGGAACAUCAGUGGCGAAGGCGGCCAUCUGGGACAACACUGACGCUGAAGCACGAAAGCUAGGGGAGCGAACGGG